rfam:Oryza meridionalis cultivar OR44 (W2112) chromosome 11, whole genome shotgun sequence.
CCUCUAGAUGAGGAAGAAAUCAUAGCUUAUAUUGUAAAUGGCCUAGAUGGUGAAUAUGAUUCAUUUGUAUCGUCACUUGGGAUGAGGGUCGAACCCAUCUCGGUUGCAUGCUCAACUGUUGAAUUAUGAGA